rnacentral:ncRNA from 1 species
CAUGCCAUACGCGGGAGUCCGGACGCACCGGGCUGAGAGGGAGGCUGCGGCCUCCGACCGUACGAACCUGAUCCGGGUCAUUCCGGCGAAGGGAGAAGCAGUCUCCUCAUG